rnacentral:piRNA from 1 species
CUCUCCCACAAAGCACAAGACUCU